rnacentral:antisense_RNA from 1 species
CUUCACCGACCCCAGCAGCAACGGCCGCUCCCGAUCCUGACCGUAGGUCGCCAGCAGCGCCUGCGCCUC